CUUAUUUACUAUCUAAAGCACAUAACAGUUGAAGUUUAUUCAAAUAUAUAGCCAAGUUGAUUAAGAUAUGAUGAUAUAUAGGCCAGCCGGGGAAAGUAGUGCCAAGAAGACAGGUGAACUCACAAUGAAUCCUCAUCACCACUUUUCUGAGGAACUUGACGUCACUUCAUAAGGUGAGCUGUGAGCCUGGAAGCCUGGAUGCCGACCUUCUGCCAAUUAUAACAGAGGACAUUUGAAGGCAUUACAAAUUUUGUAUCCUGCAGUCUGUUUAUUUGUGCUUUUAUAUUUUUUAACAGUAGUUUGCAAAGCAGUUACUAUUUAGACUCAUUACUAAGUUUUGCUGGCAGCAAAGGAUAUUAUAAUUAACAGGUUUACAAUGACCCCCUGUGAAAAGGCAUGAACCUUGAGAAUUAUUUUUCAAACAUGUAUACUUGAAUAUACUUGGCGUAUUUGAAAGCUUUUUUGAAUAAAUGUUCAAUUCCAUAAA